rnacentral:rRNA from 1 species
GAUGAACGCUGGCGGCGUGCUUAACACAUGCAAGUCGAACGAAGCACUUUAUUUGAUUUCCUUCGGGACUGAUUAUUUUGUGACUGAGUGGCGGACGGGUGAGUAACGCGUGGGUAACCUGCCUUGUACAGGGGGAUAACAGUUGGAAACGGCUGCUAAUACCGCAUAAGCGCACAGCAUCGCAUGAUGCAGUGUGAAAAACUCCGGUGGUAUAAGAUGGACCCGAGUUGGAUUAGCUAGUUGGUGAGGUAACGGCCCACCAAGGCGACGAUCCAUAGCCGACCUGAGAGGGUGACCGGACACAUUGGGACUGAGACACGGCACAGACUCCUACGGGAGGCAGCAGUGGGGAAUAUUGCACAAUGGGCGAAAGCCUGAUGCAGCGACGCCGCGUGAGCGAAGAAGUAUUUCGGUAUGUAAAGCUCUAUCAGCAGGGAAGAUAAUGACGGUACCUGACUAAGAAGCACCGGCUAAAUACGUG